rnacentral:rRNA from 1 species
GCCGAACGCUGGCGGCGUGCCUAAUACAUGCAAGUAGGACGCAGUUGCGAACGGGUGAGUAACGCGUAGGUAACUACCUAUUAGAGGGGGAUAACUGUUGGAAACGAUAGCUAAUACCGCAUACUAGUAGAUGGACCUUCGUUGUAUUAGCUAGUAGGUAGGGUAAUGGCCUACCUAGGCAACGAUACAUAGCCGAGCUGAGAGGGUGAACGGCGACACUGGGACUUAGACACCGCCCCGACUCCGACGGGAGGCAGCAGGAGGGAAUCGUCGGAAAGUGGGCGAACCCUGACCGAGCAACGCCGCGUGAGUGAAGAAGGUUUUCGGAUCGUAAAGCUCUGUUGUUAAGGAAGCGGUACUUAACCAGAAAGGGACGGCUAACUACGUGCCAGCAGCCGCGGUAAUUC